GUAGCCUCGUCUUGAUUGGCGGAUGUAAAUAAACGGUGGAACGGCUGUAAAAGAGCCUUGCCACUGGGUAAAAUCAGGAUGUGCCGCGGAACCCGCUCCUCAGUCGGUCAACUUUGGAAGCGCGGGCAACGCAGGUACUAUCGUCUAAAGGGCCGGGUGCGACCGGCCC
rnacentral:sRNA from 1 species